GCCUGAUGCAGCAACGCCGCGUGCGGGAUGACGGCCUUCGGGUUGUAAACCGCUUUUAGUAGGGAAGAAGGGCUUCGGCUUGACGGUACCUGCAGAAAAAGGACCGGCUAACUACGUGCCAGCAGCCGCGGUAAUACGUAGGGUCCGAGCGUUGUCCGGAAUUAUUGGGCGUAAAGAGCUCGUAGGCGGUUUGUCGCGUCUGCUGUGAAAUCUGGAGGCUCAACCUCCAGCCUGCAGUGGGUACGGGCAGACUAGAGUGCGGUAGGGGAGAAUGGAAUUCCUGGUGUAGCGGUGGAAUGCGCAGAUAUCAGGAGGAACACCGAUGGCGAAGGCAGUUCUCUGGGCCGUAACUGACGCUGAGGAGCGAAAGCGUGGGGAGCGAACAGGAUUAGAUACCCUGGUAGUCCACGCCGUAAACGUUGGGCGCUAGAUGUGGGGACCUUUCCACGGUUUCCGUGUCGUAGCUAACGCAUUAAGCGCCCCGCCUGGGGAGUACGGCCGCAAGGCUAAAACUCAAAGGAAUUGACGGGGGCCCGCACAAGCGGCGGAGCAUGCGGAUUAAUUCGAUGCAACGCGAAGAACCUUACCAAGGCUUGACAUAACCGAGAACGCCCUAGAAAUAGGGAACUCUUUGGAC
rnacentral:rRNA from 1 species